CGCCAACCAGCUAGCCCCCCCCCCCAAAAACAAUAUUAAACCCAAUGUUAAUAAUCCCAAAGACAUUACAAUUAAACCAAACAAACCAUUUUGCCCCCCUAGUAUGGGCGACAGAAAAGGAAUCUUUCGGAGCAAUAGAGAAAGUACCGCAAGGGAACGCUGAAAGAGAAAUGAAACAACCCAGUACUUAAGCCCAAAAAAGCAGAGAUCUCACCUCGUACCUUUUGCAUCAUGAUUUAGCUAGUAACCCCUAGGCAAAAAGAACUAUAGUCUGUAACCCCGAAACUACGUGAGCUACUCCAAGACAGCCUAUCAAUAGGGCAAACCCGUCUCUGUGGCAAAAGAGUGGGAAGAGCUUUGAGUAGAGGUGAUAAACCUACCGAACCUAGUUAUAGCUGGUUGCCUGAGAAUUGGACAGAAGUUCAGCCUCAAGACUUCUUCCUUCACAAAAGUUUCACCCCCACUGUUAACCAAUAGAAGUCCUAGAGAGUUAGUCAAAGGGGGUACAGCCCCUUUGAAACAAGACACAACUUUACAAGGAGGGUAAAGAUCAUAAUAAAUACUAAAGGUACAAUGCCCCAGUGGGCCUAAAAGCAGCCACCUUCACAGAAAGCGUUAAAGCUCAAGCAUUACUUUUUCCCAAUAUUUAGAUAGCCAAUCCCAACCCCCUACCACUAUCAGGCCAUCUCAUGCAAACAUGAGAGCGCACAUGCUAAUAUGAGUAAUAAGAGAACCACCGCCUCUCUCCUUGCACAAGUGUAAACCGGAACGAACCCCCACCGAAACUUAACGGACCCAAACAAUAGCGGGCAAUGAAUAACAAAGCAGCCAACCAGAAAACCAUCCAACAAAUAACCGUUGACCCUACACUGGCGUGCCUCCAAGGAAAGACUAAAAGAAAAAGAAGGAACUCGGCAAACACCACUAAAGCCUCGCCUGUUUACCAAAAACAUCGCCUCUUGCAUAAACCAAAUAUAAGAGGUCCAGCCUGCCCUGUGACUAUACGUUUAACGGCCGCGGUAUUUUAACCGUGCAAAGGUAGCGCAAUCACUUGUCCUUUAAAUGAAGACCUGUAUGAAUGGCAUAACGAGGGCUUAACUGUCUCCUUUUUCAAGUCAAUGAAAUUGAUCUCCCCGUGCAGAAGCGGGGAUGAAUACAUAAGACGAGAAGACCCUAUGGAGCUUUAGACACCAAGACAUAUUAUGUUAAGCACCCCCGUUUAAAGGACUAAACUAAAUAAACCAUGUCCCAUGUCUUUGGUUGGGGCGACCGCGGGGAAAUAAAAAACCCCCACGUGGAGCGGGAACACUUAACCCUCCCACAACCAAGAGCUACAGCUCUAGUGAACAGAAUUUCUGACCAUAAAGAUCCGGCAAGGCCGAUCAACGGACCGAGUUACCCUAGGGAUAACAGCGCAAUCCCCUUUUAGAGCCCAUAUCGACAAGGGGGUUUACGACCUCGAUGUUGGAUCAGGACAUCCUAAUGGUGCAGCCGCUAUUAAGGGUUCGUUUGUUCAACGAUUAAAGUCCUACGUGAUCUGAGUUCAGACCGGAGUAAUCCAGGUCAGUUUCUAUCUAUGACAUGUUCUUUUCUAGUACGAAAGGACCGAAAAGAAGAGGCCAAUACUUAAAGCACGCCUCCCCCCCCCCNUAAUGAAACCAACUAAAAUAGGCAAAAGGACAUAUCCCUUCACGCCCAAGAUAAUGGCAU
rnacentral:rRNA from 1 species